CCUACGGGAGGCUGCAGUGAGGAAUAUUGGUCAAUGGACGAGAGUCUGAACCAGCCAAGUAGCGUGAAGGAUGACUGCCCUAUGGGUUGUAAACUUCUUUUAUAUGGGAAUAAAAUGUUCCAAGUGUGGGAUUUUGUAUGUACCAUAUGAAUAAGGAUAGGCUAACUCCGUGCCAGCAGCCGCGGUAAUACGGAGGAUCCGAGCGUUAUCCGGAUUUAUUGGGUUUAAAGGGAGCGUAGGUGGAUUGUUAAGUCAGUGGGGAAAGUUUGCGGCGAAACCGUGAAAUUGCAGUUGAAACUGGCAGUCGUGAGUACAGUAGAGGUGGGCGGAAUUCGUGGUGUAGCGGUGAAAUGCUUAGAUAUCACGAAGAACUCCGGUUGCGAAGGCAGCUCACUGGACUGCAACUGACACUGAGGCUCGAAAGUGUGGGUAUCAAACAGGAUUAGAUACCCGAGUAGUC
rnacentral:rRNA from 1 species